AGCAUCUGUAAAUAAACACGAAGGAAAUGAUGUCCAAAAAAAAAAAAAAGAAAAUAGCCAGACGUUAAAAAAGAAAACAAACAGUCGUUUCAUUUUCACGAGCAUUACGUAUUCAAAUUUGAAUCUUAUUUUUAUUCCCCCCCCACCUCCUCCGGAAUAUUUUUUAACAUCUCCUCUCGUCUGUUUGUUUAACGAUCUUUCUUUUUCCUCGACGUAUAGCAAAAAAAAACAAAAUCGAAAACGUACCAAGGUUAUACCGGAUUUGUUUAAAACCGAGAAAAAGGGAGGGGACCUUGAGUGCCACCGGAAUACGAAAUGAAGCCCGGGACGAGGAAUAUAUAAUCAAACAAGCUCGAAAAACACGAUAUUAAUUUCUCUGAAUACAAUACGUAUAUGUAUAGCGUAAGCUGUCCGUAUGGGGGCGAUAGGGUAAGACCAUAAUCAGUGAGAAUAAAUUAAUCUUUCACGGUCUAUCAGCAAAGACGACCUUCGGGGGGGGAUAGACACAUAAAGAUGGUGGGAAAAAAAAAGACCCCCUUGUCUCCAACAGCGAAGUCAAUGUGUGUUCCAUCCGUCAAAUUAAUCGCUCGAUUAAAAGAAAAAAAAAAAAAGGGAAUUUGGACGAACCGCUUCUGCGCACUGAACGAGUUGAAACGCACAGAUGGAAAUCUUCUUAUAAGCCCAAACCGGAUGAACAACCUGAAGGACCUUGAGCGAUUGGCUGGUCAUCUUGAUUGAGUCAACCUCCCGUUUAUGGGAAUGUUACCCUCGGGAGGGUGCGUUGAACCCAACGAUUUGGACACAGCACACACAUCAAUUCAAAAGAUCAGACACACCUUCGAUGGCUUCCAUGACUCCAACCACGUCCGUGUUCUCCAGCGGUGGCUUCCAUUCUCGUCGCGGUGACCUCCGGCUGUCGAUGAGGGUCGUCUCGGGCAGCGGUUCCAGCGUGCUGGAAAUGUUCAUGUCCUGAACAGGUGGAGGGGCAGCCAACGGUGAUGGAGCCAAUGUUCCACCGCCUCCCGUGAAAUCAGCGCUCAUCAGAUCUGGCCGUUUCUUUUGGCCGGCUCCACCGCUGCCCCGCGUCCGGUUACGAUACCAAGAACGAUCCAGCGAUCCGUAUCCAUCGGCUGGAGGUUAAACAAAACGACAUAAACAAGUGGAUACAAACGGGAAAAAAACAAAAACAGCAUUCACUUUAUGGAAAAUGAUACGACCUUUAUCUGAGUCACGAAUCUAACAGUACUGUAACCCCUUGUUCUUUCUUAUUUAUUUAAAAAUGGGAUCAUAAAGAUCCGUAUCCCGCCUUCUUUCUUUCAAAUGUCUCCUAAUGAAUUGGAUCUUUUUACGGCAGCCGUAAACGGGCAGAGUUAUGUCAUCGACUUUGCGUCCCAGCAAAAGAAUCACGAAAGCUUUUGCCAUCGAAACAUCUCGUGAUGUGUCGUAAAAAGAAACAAAACCCGGAUGGGGAUAAGCAUCAAGUGAAGAAAUUCAAGAACUUUUGUUCUGCUCUUUUCGACAUAGAGCACACGCAAGGCGAUUUUCACGACGUCAAUCCGAAGGGGGUCGAACAAUGUUUGGGCAAAGCGCCACGGUGGUCCAGACCACAUACAGUCGACCGUCAAUGUCAUUCGACGUAAAUCAAAUCAAAUCAAAUCAACCAAAAGCCAAAGAUUACGUAUGUUGCCAGUUGAUUUGCGUUCGCGGGACCCGUCGGCGUGACCUGAUGUCCGCAGAUAAUCCAUCAGCGUGUCGUCUUCUUCCGAAGGGACGCGGCUUCGACGUCGACGAAGACUCCCGUUGGGCGUCAGAUCCUCUGCACAAUAAUAUACGUCAUCAAUCCAUCAACCCAGUGUGUAAUUUAUUUAUAUUUAACACACGAAAAAAAAAUCUCCAAAAAUAUCAAGGCAAAUUGGCGAUGACUGUGAAAGGAAGAAAAAAUUUAAUGUCAGUUCGUUUAAUUCCUUACCGAGGAGAUUAUCAUCUUUGUUCAUGUCGUUGUUGUUUGGCACGUUGACGACCGUGUUGGAUCCCAGUCUUUUACGGCUGACGCGCGGAGAGCUGGCCACGGCCAUCACCAAUGGAGAUGCAUUAUCAUCUUCGCCGGACGGCUCAAGCGAGGCCUUCUUUCCUUUGCGUAUCUUUUAUAUAUUUUUUUUAAAAAGAAAAUACUUAACAAUGUCCACCUAAAGAAUAGGCAAAUGUUUCGCACCUUGUCGCGCAUCGGGAAGCCAUUACGGAUGUCCAGCAAAAGAGAAUCCAUGACGUUGUCGGUUUCGUUGCCUCCUGUGCUACCUUGUUGUCCACCUGUUUUUGUGUUAAAUGCAAAUGAGAGAGACAGGUUGCGUUGCUUUUCCCCUUUUGUGUGUGUGUGUGUGUUUGAAAUGCUACCAGCGCUUUGACGGCGUUUCAGGGCCAGUUGUUCCUCACGCUGCCUGCGGCGAUUCUCAGCCGCCGCUUCGUGCUGGCGUCGAUGUUCGUUUUCCAAGAUGCCCGUCCGGAAACGUUGACAGAAGUUCAGGAAAAGUUUGAAACAUUCCUCGAGUUUGAACGAAUCGCGGUCUUCGCAGAAGAAGUCGGCCAAUUGGAUCCUCACUUCGUCCAGAACC